AUGUUCCCAUUGUGCUCUCUCAAGGCGGUCACUCGGAUUGGCUCCGACCAUACCCCCCUGCUUUUCUCGUCGGGCGAUGUGUCUCCCCCUAGGACCCGCCGUUUCCGCUUUGAGACUUUUUGGCUGGAGCAGCCGGGCUUCUUUGAGUUGGUGCGCGACCGCUGGCUAGAGGCGGUCGCGUCCCCGCCUAGUGUGUUUUGUGCUGUGGAUGUGUGGCAUCACUGUGCUAAAUUGUCUCGUCAGGCCAUGAAGGGUUGGGGGGCGAACCUUGGUGCUGAGCUGCGAUCCCGUAAGGGGACCCUGCUGGAUCAGAUUAAGGUUUUGGAUGACCUUGCUGAUAGGCAGGGCCUGUCUCCUGACGACUGGCUUAGGAGAUACGGCCUCGAGGCCUCGCUCAUGGACAUCUACAAGAGCGAGGAGCUCUUCUAG
rnacentral:rRNA from 1 species